UACGUAGGGGGCAAGCGUUUUCGGCAUUACUGGGCGUAAAGGGCGCGUAGGCGGCACGGCAAGUCAGGAGUGAAAGCCCUGGGCUCAACCCGGGAACUGCUUUUGAAACUGCCGAGCUAGAGUGCGGAAGGGGCAACUGGAAUUCCCAGUGUAGCGGUGAAACGCGUAGAUAUUGGGAAGAACACCUGAGGCGAAGGCGGUGGUCUGGGCCGGAACUGACGCUGAUGAGCGAAAGCGUGGGUAGCGAACAGG
rnacentral:rRNA from 1 species